GAUGAACGCUGGCGGCGUGCCUAAUACAUGCAAGUCGAGCGAACAGACGAGGAGCUUGCUCCUCUGACGUUAGCGGCGGACGGGUGAGUAACACGUGGAUAACCUACCUAUAAGACUGGGAUAACUUCGGGAAACCGGAGCUAAUACCGGAUAAUAUAUUGAACCGCAUGGUUCAAUAGUGAAAGACGGUUUUGCUGUCACUUAUAGAUGGAUCCGCGCCGCAUUAGCUAGUUGGUAAGGUAACGGCUUACCAAGGCAACGAUGCGUAGCCGACCUGAGAGGGUGAUCGGCCACACUGGAACUGAGACACGGUCCAGACUCCUACGGGAGGCAGCAGUAGGGAAUCUUCCGAAAUGGGCGAAAGCCUGACGGAGCAACGCCGCGUGAAUGAUGAAGGUCUUCGGAUCGUAAAACUCUGUUAUUAGGGAAGAACAAAUGUGUAAGUAACUAUGCACGUCUUGACGGUACCUAAUCAGAAAGCCACGGCUAACUACG
rnacentral:rRNA from 1 species